rnacentral:rRNA from 1 species
GAGUUUGAUCCUGGCUCAGAUUGAACGCUGGCGGCAGGCCUAACACAUGCAAGUCGAGCGGUAGAGAGAAGCUUGCUUCUCUUGAGAGCGGCGGACGGGUGAGUAAUGCCUAGGAAUCUGCCUGGUAGUGGGGGAUAACGCUCGGAAACGGACGCUAAUACCGCAUACGUCCUACGGGAGAAAGCAGGGGACCUUCGGGCCUUGCGCUAUCAGAUGAGCCUAGGUCGGAUUAGCUAGUUGGUGAGGUAAUAGGCUCACCAAGGCGACGAUCCGUAACUGGUCUGAGAGGAUGAUCAGUCACACUGGAACUGAGACACGGUCCAGACUCCUACGGGAGGCAGCAGUGGGGAAUAUUGGACAAUGGGCGAAAGCCUGAUCCAGCCAUGCCGCGUGUGUGAAGAAGGUCUUCGGAUUGUAAAGCACUUUAAGUUGGGAGGAAGGGCAGUAAAUUAAUACUUUGCUGUUUUGACGUUACCGACAGAAUAAGCACCGGCUAACUCUGUGCCAGCCGCC